rnacentral:sRNA from 1 species
GGCAGAGAAGAUGUAUGAAAAGAGUAUAUAGAAAGUAGCCAUUGUAAACUCAUAAUACAGGGAGUUUCAUAUAUUUCUUUAUGUUAUCUUUGUUCUAGUUGGUUCUUUUCAGUGAAUUUGUGCAUUACAGUUCUUUUUAUUUACAUAAUAUUGUAUAUAGUACAACAUAUGCCAGAGAUCAAAUAAUCUUGAUAAAUUCAUUUAACUCUAGGGCCUUGUUCAUGUUUUAAAUUUACUUAAUAAAUAUAAAAUAUUGUAUGUUCUUAACUUGAAGCUCAUAUUUUCAAGUAAUUCCUUGUCUGGAAUUUUCUGUUGAUCUCAUGGGUACUAAGAAACAAAAUAUUCUGUUCAUUUUCAUUUUUAAAGAAUAUCGAUAACUUGAUGACCCCAGAAGGAGUUGGCCUUACCACUGCCUUACGUGUUCUCUGUAAUGUUGCAUGCCCACCACCUCCUGUUGAAGGUCAACAGAAAGAUCUGAAAUGGAAUCUUGCCGUUAUUCAGCUUUUUUCUGCUGAAGGAAUGGACACGUUUAUUCGAGUUCUGCAAAAAUUGAACAGUAUUCUGACUCAGCCUUGGAGGCUCCAUGUCAACAUGGGGACUACCCUUCACAGAGUUACUACUAUUUCAAUGGCUCGCUGCACACUCACUCUUCUUAAAACUAUGUUAACGGAACUCCUGAGAGGUGGAUCCUUUGAGUUUAAGGACAUGCGUGUUCCUUCAGCGCUUGUUACUUUACAUAUGCUCCUGUGCUCUAUCCCCCUCUCAGGUCGUUUGGAUAGUGAUGAACAGAAAAUUCAGAAUGAUAUCAUUGAUAUUUUACUGACUUUUACACAAGGAGUUAAUGAAAAACUCACAAUCUCAGAAGAGACUCUGGCCAAUAAUACUUGGUCUUUAAUGUUAAAAGAAGUUCUUUCUUCAAUCUUGAAGGUUCCUGAAGGAUUUUUUUCUGGACUCAUACUCCUUUCAGAGCUGCUGCCUCUUCCAUUGCCCAUGCAAACAACUCAGGUUAUUGAGCCACAUGAUAUAUCAGUGGCACUCAACACCCGAAAACUGUGGAGCAUGCACCUUCAUGUUCAAGCAAAGUUGCUCCAAGAAAUAGUUCGCUCUUUCUCUGGCACAACCUGCCAGCCCAUUCAACAUAUGUUACGGCGUAUUUGUGUUCAAUUGUGUGACCUUGCCUCACCAACUGCACUUCUGAUUAUGAGAACUGUGUUGGAUUUGAUUGUAGAAGACUUGCAAAGCACUUCAGAAGAUAAAGAAAAACAGUAUACUAGCCAAACCACCAGGUUGCUUGCUCUUCUUGAUGCUCUGGCUUCACACAAAGCUUGUAAAUUAGCUAUUUUGCAUCUAAUUAAUGGAACUAUUAAAGGUGAUGAAAGAUAUGCAGAGAUAUUCCAGGAUCUUUUAGCUUUGGUGCGGUCUCCUGGAGACAGUGUUAUUCGCCAACAGUGUGUUGAAUAUGUCACAUCCAUUUUGCAGUCUCUCUGUGAUCAGGACAUUGCACUUAUCUUACCAAGCUCUUCUGAAGGUUCUAUUUCUGAACUGGAGCAGCUCUCCAAUUCUCUACCAAAUAAAGAAUUGAUGACCUCAAUCUGUGACUGUCUGUUGGCUACGCUAGCUAACUCUGAGAGCAGUUACAACUGUUUACUGACAUGUGUCAGAACAAUGAUGUUUCUUGCAGAGCAUGAUUAUGGAUUAUUUCAUUUAAAAAGUUCUUUAAGGAAAAACAGUAGUGCUCUGCAUAGUUUACUGAAACGAGUGGUCAGCACAUUUAGUAAGGACACAGGAGAGCUUGCAUCUUCAUUUUUAGAAUUUAUGAGACAAAUUCUUAACUCUGACACAAUUGUAAGUAUGUGUGUGUUUGUGUAUAUUUGUAUGUAUGUGUUUGGUGUUUCUUAAAUUUGAAAUCUUUGGCCAAGUACGGUGGCUCACAUCUGUAAUCUCAGCACUUUGGUGGGCUGAGGUGGGAGGAUCUCUUGGGGCCAGGAGUUUGAGACCAGCCUGGGCAAAAUAGUGAGACCCUGUCUCGAAAAAAAGAGAAAUACUUUGCCGUAAGUUAAAUCACUUUAUAUAUUAAAUAUCCAACAUAAAAAAGAUCACUUUAGUUCAUUUUAUUUUAUUUUAUUUUAUUUUAGAUAGAGUCUCACUCUGUCAUCCAGACUGGAGUGCGGUAGCACGAUCUCGGCUCACUGCAACCUCCACAUACUGGGUUCAAGUGAUUCUCCUGCCUCAGUCUCCUGAGUAGCUGGGAUUACAGGCACCUGCUGCCAUGCCCAGCUAAUUUUUUGUACCUUUUUAGUAGAGAUGGGAUUUCACCAUGUUGGCCAGGCUGGUCUUGAACUCCUGAUCUUAGGUGAUCUGCCCACCUCGGCCUCCCAAAGUGCUGGGAUUACAGGCAUGAGCUACCGCACCUGGCCAAGUGCCUUCAUUUCAAAAUAAUUCUUAGAUGAGUGUGGUGGCACGUGCCUCUAAUCCCAUCACUUUGGGAGGCUGUGGUAGGAUCGCUUGAGCCCAGGAGUUUGAGAUCAACCUGUACAACACAGCAAAACUCUGUCUCUAGAAACAACAAAAAUUAGCCAGAUGUGGUGUGCCCACCAGUAGUCCCAUCUAUUUGAGAGGCUAAGAUUGGAGGAUAGCUUGAGUCCAGGAGUUGGAGACUGAACUUAGCUAUGAUUGUGUCACUGCAGUCUAGUCUGGGUGACAGAGCAAGACACUGUCUCAAAAAAGAAAAAAAUUUAUGACAUUGAGUUACCUUGCUAGGGCAACUCAGAAUAAUGAAGUUUUGUUAGUCUCUUUGUUAUUUACUUAUUUUUGUUACUUAAUUUACUGAUUGUUUUGGAUGUUGUGAUUUUGGGAUAACUGUAAAGUUUAUUAUGCUUUAGUAUUUUUGGUCUAUCAUACAAAUAUGAAUUAAAGAUUAUUUUCCCCACUCUAAAAUCUUAUUGUUAAAAUUUAAUUAAGAUUUCUCUCAUUAGUGUUUUCCAAAGUCAUGGUAUAUUAUGAGCACAAUUCCAGAAGCCAUUAAUAUGCCUGCCUUACUUAGUUUGGUGGCAUGUGCCUCUAGUCCCAGCUGCUCAGGAGGCAGAGUUGGGGAAAUCACUUGAACCUAUGAGUUCAAGGUUGCAGUGAGCUAUGAUCGUGCCAGUGUAUUUCAGCUUGGAUGAAAGAGUGAGGCUCUCUUUCUCUCCCUGUUUUUUUCCUGAGACGAGGUCUCACUCUGGUGCCCAGGCUGGAGUACAGUGGUGUGAUCAUGGCUCACUGCAGCCUUGACUUCCUUAGGCUUAGGUGAUCCUUCCACCUAAACCUCCUGAGUAGCUGGGACUAUAGAUGUGCACCAUCACACCCGGCUAAUUUUUGUAUUUUUAGUAGAGAUGGGAUUUUGCCAUGUUGCCCAGGCUGGUCUUGAACUCCUGGGCUCAAGCAAUCCACCUGUCUCCGUCUCCAAAAGUGCUGGGAUUACAGGCAUGAGCCACCAUGCCUGGCCAACUCGUCUCUUAAAAUAAGAAAAAUAGGCCGGGCAUGGUGGCUCACUCCUGUAAUCCUAGCACUUUGGGAGGCCAAGGUGGGUGGAUCACUCGAGGUCAGGAGUUCGAAACCAGCCUGGCCAACAUGGUGAAACCUCGUCUCUACUAAAAAUACAAAAAAUUAGCUGGGCUUGGUGGUGGAUGCCUGUAUCCCAGUGCUUGAACCCCGGAGGCAGAGGUUGCAGUGAGCUGAGAUUGUGCCAUUGCACUCCAGCCUGGGCAACAAAGUGCGACUCCAUCUCAAAAAAAAGAAAAAGAAAGAAAGAAAGAAAAACAGGUUAGGCAGGGUGGCUCACACUUGUAAUCUCAGCAUUUUGGGAGGUUGAGGUGGGAGGAUUGCUUGAGCCCAGGAUUUGAGAUUAACCUAGGUAACAUAGUGAGACCCCAUCUAUAUGAAAAAUUUUAAAUUACCUGGGCAUGGUGGCACGUGCUUGUAGUCAGUCCCAGGUACUUGGGAGGAUGAGAUGCAAGGAUCACUUGAUCCUGGGGAGGUCAAGGCUGCAGUGAGCUAUGAUUGUGCCCCUGUACUGCAGCCUGGGUGACAUAGCGAGACCCUGUCUCAACAGCAACAAAAAAACAAGGCUAAAGAUUUUAUACAAUGUUUAGGUAGGCAUACGGCCCUCUACCAUAAGUGUAUGUGACAAUAUGGAUGGUUUUCUUAUCAUGAAGCAAGAUUUAUUUUGCUAGAAGGAUUUUCUGGUAUUGAAAUGUUAUCACUCCAGAAUUCACUUUAUUAUGUAGCAUACUUUUUAAAGCAGAAAAUAUUAACUUUUCUAUGUGACAGAAUAUAGUCUUAAAUAUGAUAGUUACUGUUUUCUUUAGUUGUUUGUAUUAUCUUCAGAAAGAUAAUUUCAGGUUUCAUCAGUUCUUUGUUAUAGCAAGCAUUUUAUUAAUUCUUGAGCAUCAGUCAGUGUGUCACAUGUCCUACAACUGCCAGUGUUUUGCCAUUCGGUAUUUUGUUGAAAAGUCUUGGUGCCAGUAAAAUAUAUGUUUGCUUAUUUAAAUAUUUUGUGUGUCUUACUCAAAGAAAACAUACUUCACCUUUCAUCUAAAUCCUUCUUAAAACUAGCCAUUUGUACUGAUGUAAAAAUCAAAACAUUGAAAGAUUGCAGCAUAUGGCUUAGAUAAUAUGAAUAAGUGUGGAUGCAUCUUUGUAAAUUUCUCUGUUCUCAAAUUUAACUUAUGUGUGACAUUUACAGGGAUGCUGUGGAGAUGAUAAUGGUCUCAUGGAAGUAGAGGGAGCUCAUCCAUCACGGACGAUGAGUAUUAAUGCUGCAGAGUUAAAACAGCUUCUACAAAGCAAAGAAGAAAGUCCAGAAAAUUUGUUCCUUGAACUAGAGAAGCUUGUUUUGGUAAAAAAGAAAAAACAGAGCGUUCCUAAGGCCUAUUUUCCUCUCAGUUUGACUAGUACAAGUAUUUCGUAGUGACCUUUUUUAAAAUAGUGAAUCUUUAGCUGGGUGUUUGUACCAUUUCAAAUAACUCUUUGAAUUAAUAAUUUGAAGUGAAGUCCUCCAUCCUGUUAUGAAUUUUAAGGAGUACAUGAAGACAGUACUUUUUGAAUUGUCUGUUCCUUGGAAGCAGGGUACCCUCUGCUGCUAUUGUUUAGAAAUAAAAUGACAAGUGUUUUGGUGUUUGUUUUAUUUUAAUGUGUUUAAUGUUAAUAAUUUCUCGACAGUGUUCCAAAUUUCUUAGUAAUAAUACAUAUAGCCUUUUCUACUAAAGAGUCAGUAGGUUUACAGACAUAAGUUUUACCUGCACCUUCUUAUUCUGCCUUUAUUUGUAUCUAGGAACAUUCAAAAGAUGAUGACAAUCUGGAUUCUUUGUUGGACAGUGUAGUUGGACUUAAGCAGAUGCUGGAGUCAUCAGGUGACCCUUUACCUCUCAGUGACCAGGAUGUAGAACCAGUACUUUCAGCUCCAGAAUCUCUUCAGAAUCUGUUUAACAAUAGGUAAAGGUUGACUUAAUUGAACUCUCUGAAAAAUGCUGUAGUGACUUUGAUUUGCACUCAGAAUUAGAGCGCUCAUUUUUGUCAGAACCAUCAUCUCCAGGAAGAACCAAGACUACUAAAGGAUUCAAACUUGGGAAGCACAAGCAUGAGACCUUUAUAACGUCAAGUGGAAAAUCUGAAUACAUUGAACCUGCCAAAAGAGCUCAUGUUGUGCCACCACCAAGAGGAAGGGGCAGGGGAGGAUUUGGACAGGGUAUACGACCUCAUGAUAUUUUUCGUCAGAGAAAACAGAACACAAGUAGACCACCAUCUAUGCAUGUGGAUGACUUUGUUGCUGCUGAAAGUAAAGAAGUGGUUCCUCAAGAUGGAAUACCUCCACCAAAACGGCCACUCAAAGUAUCACAGAAGAUUUCUUCCCGUGGUGGGUUUUCAGGCAAUAGAGGAGGACGGGGUGCUUUCCACAGUCAGAAUAGGUUUUUCACACCACCUGCUUCAAAAGGAAACUACAGUCGUCGGGAAGGAACAAGAGGCUCCAGUUGGAGUGCUCAGAAUACUCCUCGAGGAAAUUACAAUGAAAGUCGUGGAGGCCAGAGCAAUUUUAACAGAGGCCCUCUUCCACCAUUACGACCCCUUAGUUCUACAGGUUACCGCCCAAGUCCUCGGGACCGUGCUUCUAGAGGUCGUGGGGGACUUGGACCUUCCUGGGCUAGUGCAAAUAGCGGCAGUGGAGGCUCAAGAGGAAAGUUUGUUAGUGGAGGCAGUGGUAGAGGUCGUCAUGUACGCUCCUUUACACGAUAAAAAUCCUUUUGGGAACAUCUUAACUGUAUAUGAACAUUUCACGAGGACAAUAAAAAUAAGACAUUGAAGGACCAAUUUAGACUUAGCAGUUAUCUGGAGACAUCUGAGAGAAUAUUUUUAUCUGAAGAAAGCAGAUUUUGUUUGAUACCUAACAAGAUUUCAAUAAAAAUCCAAACUUUGUAUGUA